UUCCUUCCGGUCAACGAGGAUGUACCUCGUUGAUCGGAAGGAACCCCUUCCGAUCAAAGAGGUAGAUAUACCUCCCUGAUCGGAAGGGUUUCCUUCCGAUCAACGAGGUACAUCCUCGUUGACCGGAAGGAA
rnacentral:miRNA from 1 species